rnacentral:rRNA from 1 species
AACACAUGCAAGUCGAGGGGCAGCAUCAUCAAAGCUUGCUUUGAUGGAUGGCGACCGGCGCACGGGUGAGUAACACGUAUCCAACCUGCCGACAACACUGGGAUAGCCUUUCGAAAGAAAGAUUAAUACCGGAUGGCAUAGUUUUCCCGCAUGGGAUAAUUAUUAAAGAAUUUCGGUUGUCGAUGGGGAUGCGUUCCAUUAGGCAGUUGGCGGGGUAACGGCCCACCAAACCAACGAUGGAUAGGGGUUCUGAGAGGAAGGUCCCCCACAUUGGAACUGAGACACGGUCCAAAUCCUACGGGAGGCAGCAGUGAGGAAUAUUGGUCAAUGGACGAGAGUCUGAACCAGCCAAGUAGCGUGAAGGAUGACUGCCCUAUGGGUUGUAAACUUCUUUUAUACGGGAAUAAAGUUAGCCACGUGUGGCUUUUUGUAUGUACCGUAUGAAUAAGGAUCGGCUAACUCCGUGCCAGCAGCCGCGGUAAUACGGAGGAUCCGAGCGUUAUCCGGAUUUAUUGGGUUUAAAGGGAGCGUAGGCGGGUUGUUAAGUCAGUUGUGAAAGUUUGCGGCUCAACCGUAAAAUUGCAGUUGAUACUGGCGACCUUGAGUGCAACAGAGGUAGGCGGAAUUCGUGGUGUAGCGGUGAAAUGCUUAGAUAUCACGAAGAACUCCGAUUGCGAAGGCAGCUUACUGGAUUGUAACUGACGCUGAUGCUCGAAAGUGUGGGUAUCAAACAGGAUUAGAUACCCUGGUAGUCCACACAGUAAACGAUGAAUACUCGCUGUUGGCGAUAUACGGUCAGCGGCCAAGCGAAAGCAUUAAGUAUUCCACCUGGGGAGUACGCCGGCAACGGUGAAACUCAAAGGAAUUGACGGGGGCCCGCACAAGCGGAGGAACAUGUGGUUUAAUUCGAUGAUACGCGAGGAACCUUACCCGGGCUUAAAUUGCAACUGACUGAACCGGAAACGGUUCUUUCUUCGGACAGUUGUGAAGGUGCUGCAUGGUUGUCGUCAGCUCGUGCCGUGAGGUGUCGGCUUAAGUGCCAUAACGAGCGCAACCCUUAUCGAUAGUUACUAGCANGUCAUGCUGAGGACUCUAUUGAGAC